rnacentral:tRNA from 1 species
GCGGUCGUGGCGAAGGGGUUAACGCACCAGACUGUGGAUCUGGGAUUCGCGGGUUCAAGUCCCGUCGACCGCC